CCUUUUCAGAGUUUCAGAUGGCGACCUCACAGAAGCUCUCCAGUGUCAUAUGCACCGAGGUGUUUGACAAUCCUUGUACACUUGACUGCAAUCACACUUUCUGUCGGAAAUGAGUCACCAACUACAUCAAAACCAGACCGGAAGCCUCCAGUGCCAAGUCUCUCUGCAGCAAGAUGACGAGAGUGUCUGACCCUUAGAGACCAGUGGAGGGGUGGGUGGAUGACGUCAAGCCAAGCUUUGUCAUCCAUAGACUCUUCGACUCGCUUGGUCCGGGAUCUAAAGGAGCAAGGAUGCUGGGGUUGAUCCGCUGGAUCUGGUGACUGUGGUUUUGCUAAAUGUGAUCAGAAUUUUGCGGAUUUUGGAGUCUUUUUUUGUGGCUGAUCUGUGGUGUUCUGUGAUGCGGACGUCGACGGGUCUAAAUCUUUCUGAUUUCAGAAUUUACAUCAGUGCCAUUUACUUUAUCUUCAUGUUCACUGGUAGAAGACCUUUGUGUCAUCACGCCUUGUUGGUGUUUAUUACACAGUGAAAACGUGGGUAGUCUCGUGAAGAAAUGAGUAGGCUUCAGAUAUAUAGCCUCGAUCUUUAAUGGCUUAAAUCACUUCACAAGUUCUAGUUGACAAACCCUAUAGUGCAGAUAGUACCUAUAUACUAUGCACAAUUACCUAAAUAAGAAAGGGUUACACCUAAACUGUUUAUAAAGACACUUUGUCGCGACCCUAGAUGACUGAACUGACAAUCGUAGGUGGUGUACCGUUGACAUUCACACAACACUGAUCUUACCCUGGAUCUCAGUAUAAAAGAGAAAUGGACUAUUCGAGACGUUUAUUGCAUUAGUUUUUACAUAAGUUCUUCAUAAGGUUCUUCAAUAGAUACAGUCGUAAUAGCACAUGAUAAAGUGGACAUAUUGGAAUCACAAUACCAUCCCAAGGAACAACCUUCAAUGAAGUGAUUCAAAGACACACACAUAUUUGUAUAUACAACAAAGAAUGAAAAAAAUAAUGUUUGAAUUAAAAUAUUAAAAACAAUUUUUAUUACAGACACCACCUAUUUUAUUAAUACUUUACUGCACAAAACAUACCAUUCCUCAUAAAACACAAGGUUGACUAAACAUAAACACUGACACAAUCGCAUGUUAUGUGUAAGUAAUUGAAAGAAAAUAAAUCAUAGUUAAUAUGAAAAACUUCAAACACAUGAAGAAAAAACAUAGAACACACAAGCUUUCCAUUGGUAGACACAUAGUACAUGAGUGUAUGAACUUAGAUCAGAAUAUUAAACGAACUAUGUAACCAGAAAAAUAAUGCAAAUGUGUGACUACAUGUGUCUUUUUAAUAUUUUAUUUUACAAUACUGGAUAGGUUGAUGUAAAAUAAGUAUUCUCGUUGUGAGUGUAGUAUGAAUUGAAUGCCA